rnacentral:rRNA from 1 species
GGAAUUCGAUUAACGCGAAGAACCUUACCCAGGCUUGAACAGCGAGUGACCAACUCCGAAAGGGGUCUUCCGCAAGGACACUCGUAGAGGUGCUGCAUGGCUGUCGUCAGCUCGUGUCGUGAGAUGUUGGGUUAAGUCCCGCAACGAGCGCAACCCUUGUUUGCUGUUGCCAUCACGUUAUGGUGGGCACUCUGCAAAGACUGCCGGUGAUAAACCGGAGGAAGGUGGGGAUGACGUCAAGUCAGCAUGGCCUUUAUGUCUGGGGCUACACACGUGCUACAAUGGCCGAUACAAACCGUCGCGAUAUCGCAAGGUGGAGCUAAUCGGAGAAAGUCGGUCUCAGUUCGGAUCGUAGGCUGCAACUCGCCUGCGUGAAGUUGGAAUCGCUAGUAAUCGCGGAUCAGCACGCCGCGGUGAAUACGUUCCCGGGCCUUGUCACACCGAAUCACUA